AGCUCUGCGCAGCGGCGAUAUCGUACCCAAUGAGGAACAUCCGAGAUGGGACUAUUGCUAAUUGAAGAAAUACAAUUGAUUACUAAGUCAACGGCAGUCCUACGUCAACCUUGAAUUUAUAUCGUAGGUAUAAGCCA